rnacentral:rRNA from 1 species
UACGGAGGAGGCAAGCGUUAUCCGGAAUUAUUGGGCGUAAAGAGCUCGUAGGCGGCUCGUCGCGUCGACCGUGAAAACCCGCGGCUUAACUGCGGGCUUGCGGUUGAUACGGGCGGGCUAGAGUUCGGUAGGGGAGACUGGAAUUCCUGGUGUAGCGGUGAAAUGCGCAGAUAUCAGGAGGAACACCGGUGGCGAAGGCGGGUCUCUGGGCCGAUACUGACGCUGAGGAGCGAAAGCGUGGGGAGCGAACAGG